rnacentral:rRNA from 1 species
GACGAACGCUGGCGGCGUGCUUAACACAUGCCAGUCGAACGGGUCUGCCCUGUUUUUUGCGGGGUGGGUCAGUGGCGAACGGGUGAGUAACACGUGAGUAACCUGCCCCUCACUUCUGGAUAACCGCUUGAAAGGGUGGCUAAUACGGGGUGUUCUGGCUGUGCCGCAUGGUGUGGCUGGGAAAGAUUCACUUUUGUGGUGUUUUGGUGGGGGAUGGGCUCGCGGCCUAUCAGCUUGUUGGUGGGGUGAUGGCCUGCCAAGGCUUUGACGGGUAGCCGGCCUGAGAGGGUGGGCGGUCACACUGGGACUGAGAUACGGCCCAGACUCCCGCGGGAGGCAGCAGUGGGGGGUAUUGCACAAUGGGCGGAAGCCUGAUGCAGCGACGUCGCGUGAGGGAUGGAGGCCUUCGGGUUGUGAACCUCUUUCGCCGGUGAAGAAGGUCCUGCUCUUUGUGGUGGGGUUGACGGUAGCCGGGUUAUGAAGCGCCGGCUAACUACGUG